CAGAAGCAUGGGAGCAGGUGCUUCAGGCCAGAGCCCUGUGCCCCGGGGUCCUGUGUAGAUGGAACAGGACUGAGCCCAGGGAGGAAGGCCUGCCAGCAAUCCCAGCUGUCGAAAAGUCACCUGUCCAAACUCGAGCCGGGUGUCGAGGGGGGAGCAGUGGGAACCUGAGUGGGACAGGACUUCCCGGGGUCAGUACACAGCAGGCAGCCACCCCCUCACCCGGCCCAUCUGGUGCAGCCGUGGGCGCAGCAGCCCUUCCUAUGGCUCCGGGUCCACCUGCUCCCGUCUGUGUGCGGCGAGUCUCUUUGCAAAUCCAACUAAAUGCUAGUUCGGGAAAGCACGGGGGGCUCACGGCCCACUUCAGAGGCAGGGUUUACACCAUCAGCCAAAGACAGACAGCAUGGAAGGUGUUGAAGAGCUAAGCAAUUUCCCUGGCCUUGGCCAGGGCCUAAUAAAAGCCCCAAGGCAGCCCUCGCGGUGAGAAGACAACGACGGACUUCAUCCCCAUUAAGAGAAAGUAAAUUUUCCUAAAGCAGUGACAAAGAACUUUGUUAGCACCUGGGCGUUUGCGUUCAGUUCAGUUUCUGCUCUGAGCAUUAUGUGGCCCGGAAGAAAGAGCAGGAUUCUCUGGCGUGUGCGUAGCAUGUAUGUACGUGUAUAUAAUAUAUAUAGUAAUCCAAGUAAGGAUCUUUGAAGACACAACACAGAUGAGUUCAUCGCCUUUUACAUGUUUGUUUCCUGUUCCUCCAAAUCCAUCAUUCCUGGUUCCAUCAAAGUUUAUGUGAAAAAAUAACUGGAGUUAUUAGUAGAUCUCAAGCUGUAAAUAUGAAGCAACAAUGUGAAACGGCUGCUAACUUAAGCUUGAGCUUCACGAAUGGACUUCUCGUUUUCCAACAAAGGGGUGGAUGUCACAAAUCCAUCUAGCUUCCCCUCUGGAGCUUGAGGACCCCUGUAAAGAAAUAGAGGGCAAGCAUUUGGGAGGAGCUUGUGAAUUCACCGUAUGUCCAACCCCAAGGCAUAGGUCUGGGUCCAGCCAGGCCAUUCAGAGGCUGUGGCUUUGGGAAGAAAUGAGAGGUAAAGCCAGAAGAGUCUCUUCAUUCCUGACCUCAACUCCCCGGUCUGUAAAGUGGAAGCCUCACUUCAGGGUCUGAGAGAACCCCAGUGGUUAGCAAUUCGAUGGAGGUGGGGCAGAACUGGAGAGGAAUGUGAGGAAAGAGAGAGGCAGCGAGAGAUCAGCUGCCCUAGAGGACCAAGGAAGGCACCAAAUUCUUUCCUGCACCCACCACCUCCCCGUCCUCCAUUGUGACUCAGGCAAGCCCUUGAACCCCUUGGCUCCUCAUCUCCCAAUCGAUGUGAGAUAGUCAAGCACGGCAAUGGAGGAGAGGAAUGGACAGCUCUUCACAGGAAUAGGAAGCGCCCGGUAAAUUCAAGCCGAGCCCCACUGCCCAGCCCCAAGGCAACUCUGAUCUUCUGCUUUUUGGAACUCAGUGGCCUGGGAAAUUGUCCCAGAGAACCUGACUCUGCAGAGUCCUUAUGGAACAGGAUAAGGUGCCCCAACUGAACACACCCCUGCAGGAGCAUACAGAGCACAAAUCAAAGCAGACCUUUGGGAUGAGUGUGUGUGAGUUCAAGGGACUCUUCACUUUACACAAGGACUCGCCUAGCUCUCCUUUUCUGAGACAGCUUGAUGGACAUAGAUAAACCCAGGUUCUGAUCCAGCCUUGCCAGCCAACUUUUGACAAUCACUUAAUAUCUUUGAACUUCA